AUAUAAGCUUCCUGUCCCAACGUUCCCCUAUUUUACAGAUGAGAAGACUGAGGCAAAGAGAGAGAUGGUGUUGCUGGGGGGAAUUCUUUGACUUCUGGCCCCAGGCCCAGUCCUCUGUGGGAGCUCACCAAGAGUGUCUGGCCCAGCAGAAGCUCAGGGAUGAUCCUGAAUGACCUCUUCCAGGACCCAGACUCGCCUUCCCUAAACCAGGUCUGGGAUACCCCGCCCAGGUUACUACAGAGAAUAUCACAGCCUCGCGAGUUCUAACGCAUAAAGACAGAAUGUUCCUGUAUCCAUGACAGUAAAGGAAAUGAACAAUUCCAAGACCGAAGAAUUCCUGGUGUUGGUUGCCCUUUUAUGACCACAACCACCUCCCUCCUACUUCUUCCACCUAGUCCCUAACAUUUGGCAACAGCUAAAAAUGUCUUCCAUUUCUAAACUUUUGUCACUUCUAAAAUGUUAUGUAAAUGAAAUCACACAGCAUGUAAUUUUCUGGGAUUGGCUUUUUUUUUUUUUCUGCUCAGUAUAACUUGGUAAUUCAUCCAAGUUAUGUGUAUCAAGUUUGUUCCUUUUGAUUGCUGAGUAGUAAGUCUUCUAUGGUAUAGAUGUACCACUGUUUAACUCUUUUACUUGUUGAAGGACAUUUGGGUUAUUUCCAGUUUUGGGCUACUAUGAAUAAAGUUGCUGUGAACAUUUGUGUAUAGGUUUUGAAAUGCUCAGAGGUACGGAAUUAGCUACUAUAUUUGGGGGCUAAAGGUGCUGAUUGAGUCCAUCGUUGUUUCUAAGGGCUUUUCAGUAGACAGAAUUAGGAUAUACUUUUUAAUUUAAGCUAAAAUAUACCAUGAGUUCAUACAGAUACUUCCUAAUUUAAUUCAAGACUACAGGGAAUUUGCGUUACAUCAUUGAUUUUAGAUCUCCAUGUCUUUUCUCCUGUGACAAAAUUCCAGUUCUGGUACAAUCAACAUAAUUGUUUUAUCACAAUUCCACCUAUUCCUAAUAAUAUUACUGCUAAAUACAAUUUAAGAUUUUAUAGGAGUUUUAUUCUUUUAAUGGCAGUUUUGUCCUUAGGGUAGAUCUUUGGAUGUACAGUUAAAUCAGUGUGUUUUCAAGUCAUUCAGAAAGUUCCCUUCUGUGUAGUUAGGCUACCAACUGGAUAUACAUUUAAGUUCAUUUGUUUCAUUUUACUUUCAACUUUUAGGGACUGAUUUUUAAAAAUUAAUUUUUAUCAAUCAUAUAAAACAUACAGGUUUCCAAAGUCAAAUGCACAAAAUAGAUUCAAAGUCCAGCCUCUUUCCCUUCAUUUAUAGUAUGUAACUAUAAAAAUUUUUAAAUGAGUUAUACUUUCACUUUUUAAAAAUAUAAGUAUUUAUUUACAUUUGUACCUCCCUACUCCCUUUCACAAAUGUAGAGGGAAUGGUUAUACUUUCUUACUCCAGACUUUAGCAGGAAAUCCUCUAGUGUUUAACCAUUGAGAUCCUUGAAAACUGUUUUGUAAAAUGAGGGCAACACUAUCCAUUCUAUCUGAUCUUCCACAGCAUUUCUUGGGAAGAUAAAAGAUGUGAAAACUAUCAAACUGAAAAGUGAUACACAAAUAUACCUGUUGACAUUUUGGGAAAGCCUCAAGAGGCCUGAACACAAUCUAGUACAUUUUAAACAGGAAGAAACAGACGCUCACAGAAUUGAGAGGAUCUGCCCUAAGGAACAUGGGAAACGAGCGAGAGCUCCAGUCUUCUGCCCUGCAGUCCAGGGAUCGGAUAAAACCACCGAGGCCUUCUUUAUUAAAAAUCUAUACUCAACAUACAAGUGUCUGUUUUUAUAGACAUGAAUAUCUUUGGAGGCCCUCGAAGAGGAAAAAGUUACAAAAGACCUCCAGGCUCAGUGAGGCAGUUAAAGCCCGGGAAACCACGAUCGCCCAGAGAGUCCCAGGAGGGAACCUGGAGCUGGGGUCAGUGAGCCCCACCCUCACUCAAACUGGGAAGUUCUGGUCCGAGUUCGGAGGCGACAGAAAACAUACAGAUGCUGUGAAGGCACGAAGUAGGGAGGUCCAGUGAGGGGAAGCUGGACAGUUAAGUUAAAGCUGUCCCAUUUGGCACCCCGACAGGGAAGACUGACACACUCAGGACUCCAGCAAAAGCCAAAUGAAGAUUCCGCGGGCAAAGAAAGGAGGCAAAGUCAUACAGUUCGAAAGGAAAAAUGGUACUGAUGGGGACCCGUACGACUUCCACUGGCCUCAGCUCUAACACCCCAGCCGAGGGGAGGGGCAGUUUCUGCGGGCGGAAGCCCGCUAUGGGGCAGGGGGCGGGUCAACGGAAAUGACGUUUAG